rnacentral:rRNA from 3 species
UGGGCGUUAAGUUGCAGGGUAUAGACCCGAAACCCGGUGAUCUAGCCAUGGGCAGGUUGAAGGUUGGGUAACACUAACUGGAGGACCGAACCGACUAAUGUUGAAAAAUUAGCGGAUGACCUGUGGCUGGGGGUGAAAGGCCAAUCAAACCGGGAGAUAGCUGGUUCUCCCCGAAAGCUAUUUAGGUAGCGCCUCGUGAAUUCAUCUCCGGGGGUAGAGCACUGUUUCGGCUAGGGGGCCAUCCCGGCUUACCAACCCGAUGCAAACUGCGAAUACCGGAGAAUGUUAUCACGGGAGACACACGGCGGGUGCUAACGUCCGUCGUGAAGAGGGAAACAACCCAGACCGCCAGCUAAGGUCCCAAAGUCAUGGUUAAGUGGGAAACGAUGUGGGAAGGCCCAGACAGCCAGGAUGUUGGCUUAGAAGCAGCCAUCAUUUAAAGAAAGCGUAAUAGCUCACUGGUCGAGUCGGCCUGCGCGGAAGAUGUAACGGGGCUAAACCAUGCACCGAAGCUGCGGCAGCGACACUGUGUGUUGUUGGGUAGGGGAGCGUUCUGUAAGCCUGUGAAGGUGUGUCGUGAGGCAUGCUGGAGGUAUCAGAAGUGCGAAUGCUGACAUAAGUAACGAUAAAGCGGGUGAAAAGCCCGCUCGCCGGAAGACCAAGGGUUCCUGUCCAACGUUAAUCGGGGCAGGGUGAGUCGACCCCUAAGGCGAGGCCGAAAGGCGUAGUCGAUGGGAAACGGGUUAAUAUUCCCGUACUUGGUGUUACUGCGAAGGGGGGACGGAGAAGGCUAUGUUGGCCGGGCGACGGUUGUCCCGGUUUAAGCGUGUAGGUGUGUGUUCCAGGUAAAUCCGGUUCACUUUAACACUGAGGCGUGACGACGAGGCACUACGGUGCUGAAGCAACAAAUGCCCUGCUUCCAGGAAAAGCCUCUAAGCAUCAGGUAACAUCAAAUCGUACCCCAAACCGACACAGGUGGUCAGGUAGAGAAUACCAAGGCGCUUGAGAGAACUCGGGUGAAGGAACUAGGCAAAAUGGUGCCGUAACUUCGGGAGAAGGCACGCUGACACGUAGGUGAAGUGAUUUACUCAUGGAGCUGAAGUCAGUCGAAGAUACCAGCUGGCUGCAACUGUUUAUUAAAAACACAGCACUGUGCAAACACGAAAGUGGACGUAUACGGUGUGACGCCUGCCCGGUGCCGGAAGGUUAAUUGAUGGGGUCAGCGCAAGCGAAGCUCCUGAUCGAAGCCCCGGUAAACGGCGGCCGUAACUAUAACGGUCCUAAGGUAGCGAAAUUCCUUGUCGGGUAAGUUCCGACCUGCACGAAUGGCGUAAUGAUGGCCAGGCUGUCUCCACCCGAGACUCAGUGAAAUUGAACUCGCUGUGAAGAUGCAGUGUACCCGCGGCAAGACGGAAAGACCCCGUGAACCUUUACUAUAGCUUGACACUGAACAUUGAGCCUUGAUGUGUAGGAUAGGUGGGAGGCUUUGAAGUGUGGACGCCAGUCUGCAUGGAGCCGACCUUGAAAUACCACCCUUUAAUGUUUGAUGUUCUAACGUGGACCCGUUACCCGGGUUGCGGACAGUGUCUGGUGGGUAGUUUGACUGGGGCGGUCUCCUCCUAAAGAGUAACGGAGGAGCACGAAGGUUGGCUAAUCCUGGUCGGACAUCAGGAGGUUAGUGCAAUGGCAUAAGCCAGCUUGACUGCGAGCGUGACGGCGCGAGCAGGUGCGAAAGCAGGUCAUAGUGAUCCGGUGGUUCUGAAUGGAAGGGCCAUCGCUCAACGGAUAAAAGGUACUCCGGGGAUAACAGGCUGAUACCGCCCAAGAGUUCAUAUCGACGGCGGUGUUUGGCACCUCGAUGUCGGCUCAUCACAUCCUGGGGCUGAAGUAGGUCCCAAGGGUAUGGCUGUUCGCCAUUUAAAGUGGUACGCGAGCUGGGUUUAGAACGUCGUGAGACAGUUCGGUCCCUAUCUGCCGUGGGCGCUGGAGAACUGAGGGGGGCUGCUCCUAGUACGAGAGGACCGGAGUGGACGCAUCACUGGUGUUCGGGUUGUCAUGCCAAUGGCACUGCCCGGUAGCUAAAUGCGGAAGAGAUAAGUGCUGAAAGCAUCUAAGCACGAAACUUGCCCCGA